rfam:Felis catus isolate Cinnamon breed Abyssinian chromosome A2, whole genome shotgun sequence.
GCCUGGGUGGCUCAGUCGGUUGAGUGUCUGACUUCAGCUCAGGUCAUGAUCUUGCUGUCCGUGAGUUCAAGUCCCGCAUUGGGCU